UGCAGACCGUUCCUUGGAUUCCGGGUACAGCUCAUCAGAAAGCGAACACCUCGAGAUACGGGUGACGUGUACACAAGGAGGCACUGGAUGGCGUGCCCUCCCUUGUUUCAAAUUCAAUCAGACAGGGCCGUCGAGAAGACGGGGCAUACGUUGAGACUGUCACUGAAUGAUUCUCAGUGCAUCUCUCCACUUCCAGUGCAGGAAAUUGAUUUCUCGUUCUGCCCAGUCGCUCAGAACACCGCAGGCCGGAGAGGUGCAGAAGAGAUUCUCGCGCAGCUGGAGAAAAUCUGUGAAUCCUAAAAUCUGCAAGAAACACAUCCAUCGAACUUCGUCUGUGGCAGUCUGCAGCAAACAAAAUGUCGAUGGGUGGGGGACGGCAAAACUCGCGUUAGACGUCCGAGUCCGCAUGCAGGGUCCAGCCACGAAUCACUGCUACUGCCAAGAAGCGGUCUUUCCCCCUACAUUCGCUACGUCUUCGGAACCCAUUUUGCGAACAAAAAUAUCCUACAAUUCACGAAAUAUACAUCUACAGGAGUUUGUUCGCUGUUGCUAUUCAUACAGGUCAAGCUGGUGGCACCCGCGCUCAGGCGACGCGAAAUAGCGCAACAACAUUCACGCCACAGCCCGGAAUCACGGCGCACCCGUCUCAGGUCAAGGUCCUGAUCCCGAGUCUACGGUAGGCAGCCGCGUAGCCAGUGUGGUUUAAGGGUGCUACAAGAAAUACAUAAGCAAACACAUUUUGCCGGUUGGCCAUCAUUCGAGGUUGUUCCCGCUUUCUGAUAGCACGCUCUGCUCUACACUGGAAACCCGAUCCUGGGAUUCCACGAACACUCACCGUCGAGCAGAUGAACGGCCGCGAUAGGACCCAACGGAGAGCCAUCACAGUCAGGUUCGGGUGGUCUAGGCGAAGCGCCAGAUAAAAGUACGCCGUAACAGCUCGCGCAGCCAACGAGCCCCUGAGCGGUCAGUGGAUUGACAAACAUGCGCGUAUGACGUGAGGAGCAAGUUCGCGUCCUCCCGUAGAUAUAACACACAAUGCCCACGCACCCCUCGGUUGUUGCGUCCAUCCACAGGAGGACAGAUUAUUUUUUUGGUCGGCGGGCGCCCAGUGAUGGACGAUGACGCAGAGGAGAGACAGACCGCCUAACGUUCUCACCUGUAGCGCCUCAUAUAAGAUGGGAAACGGAGCAUCCGGCCAGUCGUGGGGUACUCUAGCCAUUCCAAGUAUUUGCCAGUUAAAAUUCCGCCUCCGAGAGCUCCGUAGGCGACCAGAGCAGUGCCUGAAGAGACGCAGCAGAAAAACGGAAUUCGCAAAAAACGUUUGUACGCCGAGUCCUCAAUUCGCUGAGGGACAGUCCGAUGCAAACGCACCAGGUGUGGCGGAAACGAGUACGCG
rnacentral:lncRNA from 1 species